GAUGAACGCUAGCUACAGGCUUAACACAUGCAAGUCGAGGGGCAGCGGGAUUGAAGCUUGCUUCAAUUGCCGGCGACCGGCGCACGGGUGAGUAACGCGUAUCCAACCUUCCGUACACUCAGGGAUAGCCUUUCGAAAGAAAGAUUAAUACCUGAUGGUAUGAUGAGAUUGCAUGAUAGCAUCAUUAAAGAUUUAUCGGUGUACGAUGGGGAUGCGUUCCAUUAGGUAGUAGGCGGGGUAACGGCCCACCUAGCCAACGAUGGAUAGGGGUUCUGAGAGGAAGGUCCCCCACAUUGGAACUGAGACACGGUCCAAACUCCUACGGGAGGCAGCAGUGAGGAAUAUUGGUCAAUGGACGAGAGUCUGAACCAGCCAAAGUAGCGUGAAGGAUGAAGGUCCUACGGAUUGUAAAACUUCUUUUAUAAGGGAAUAAACCCUCCACGUGUGGGAGCUUGUAUGUACCUUAUGAAUAAGCAUCGGCUAACUCCGUGCCAGCAGCCG
rnacentral:rRNA from 1 species